rnacentral:lncRNA from 1 species
GAGAGCAACUAAAAAGAUUUCUAUAUAUUCAAACAUGUGAUACUUUCAAGCAAAGUUAUUAAAGGGUCAAGAUGCACCACCAAAGAAAAGAGGUGCAAAGUGAGGGCACACACCUUAAUGAAGUAAGGUACAACAUAUCUGACAUCAUGAAUUCAUUAUAUGUAUUUGUACUAACUUGUAUACGCAUAAGCAUAUUUACAUACAUGCAUAUUCAUAUGUUUGAGCAUACUAGCAACCAAACACGUUUGAUACAUAUUUAAGGAAACAUCAUAUAAACUUUUAAAUUAUAGUAUGUAAAUUAUAAAAAUGAUAUUACAAUAAUUAGAUUUUGCUUUACUUGUUUAGUCUCAGAAAUUUUUGUUAUGAUAUUCUUCUUAUUUGUGGCAGCUGUAUACUAAUUUUUCUAUUUUUCCUUAUUGAUUUAUUCUCAAAAAAAUGUAGCAAGAAAAUAUUAGAGACAAGUUCUAAAGUGUGACCUUUCUACAUAAUGUAGGGGCCAUUGCUUGGUCAAUGGUAAAAAGCUUGGGUUGAGAAGUGUAAUGGUACAGGUUUGAGUCCUAGGGAAGCCAUCUUGUUCAAAAAUGCCAAAUAUUAGGUCUAUCCCCAGUUUGCCCCUCCUAGGACUCCGAAUUUUUGGGAGCAUAACUAGUAAUGGCCCUUUUACUCUAUACAGAAGUAUCCAAAAUUUCCAUCAUGAAGAAAUCAUAGUUAUUGAUUGUUAUUGACGAAAUCUUGGCUAUUUAAGCCACCAUAAAAGAAAACUACUUAAAAUCAUCUACUUAAAUUUACAUCAAGAAUCUUCAUUAUCAAAAAAAAAAUGUCAAGAAGCUUAAAUAAAUUUCUGUUCAGAAGCCAUUAUGAUCUUCAGAUUUUUAAAUUGGAUCAGUUAUAAUGCCCGUGCAAUGCACAUGGCUGCAAAACAUUUUAGACAAGAUAUUUUUUUAAAAAAAUGCUUAAACUUGGAUUAGGUGCUAAUAUGCAUCCUUAAGAAAAUUAUUUAUGAUGUAUUUUGGUGCGGGCACC